rnacentral:misc_RNA from 1 species
AAGGCAGAGAGUACAUUAUCUUGACCGAAAAAAAAUAACUGUUAAAUUGUUUCCGUUGCUAUCUAAUAUAGAUCACUCACAAACGUUUAGACCAGCCCUUCGUACAAUUGAGGCACAAAAGGCUGAUUAAUAGUGCAACAGUCCUCGACAAAUUGAAUUGUCCUCCAGCAGAAAGUAGCGUUUGUUGAGCUUUCUUAUUCAUUUUGUCGAGAAAAAUUUUGAAAGGAAAAUCAGGGUUUAAGGGUUUUGGGUUUAUGUAGUGUCCACCUUAACGCUAAGUCAAAGCACUUUCUUAGUUUCUUUCUAGUGUUUCAG